UGAUGGUAAAAUCCUAACCGUUAAUUUGAAAAUGUGUUUAGUAUAAAUAGGGAUGAGUUAGUUGAAUUUAUAUCAAAACAAAAAAAUUAUAAACACUUAAUAAUGUAAGUAUUUAUCUUUCCCAAAAAUUUCACAUCCUCUCCGAAAUUCUUAGUCUUUUUCCACUUACCCAAAAGUUCCUUCCAAUAUUUUAACAAAAAUAGAUGAAAGACCAUGGAAGAAGCCCCAAUGCAAAUAUAGCUAUGCAAUUUGCAAACAACAUCGUGAUCGCAUUACUCUUUCAUUUGCUAUGUUAUACAAUUGCCUUUCUAUGGGCAUAAUUACAGUUAUGCAUUGCGUGGAGUUGAAUGCGACCCUGGUCCGUGAGGUUUUGUAAGUAGUUUAUGCUUAUGCAAGUGACGGGUUCUUGUAAUGUGAUCUAAAAUAUGCAAAUUACUUUCGGUGAGCCAUGAGUAAAGGUACACUACAUAUUUAGACGGAUCUAGCUGGAUCUUCUAAAAAGUAGUGAUUCAUCUUCUAAACAUCCAGUGUAUGUUACUCAUAGGCUCCUAGAAGUAAUUUGCAUAUUUAGAUCAUUACGGUACUUUUGUCAGAUUGCAUGCUGGAGUUUCAUCAUCACCCAUUAAGAUCUGGUAGUAACUUUCUCUAUAAAUCUUAGAGGUCACCGCUUGCAUCACAAAUAUCAUAAGUUUUUGUUAAUGGGAAGUUUGGAGGGAGCAUCUGCAGAGAGAAAGUAGUUACUUUGAAGGAACAUAAUUGUGACUUGUGCGCGUUUUGUCAGAUCAUGAGGUUAUUGACUAUGGAUAAUUUGUUUCUCUGCAUGAACUUGACACUUUUAAAAGUUGACAUUUUACAAAAACAGAUGAUAAGUCUACACCAAAAGUUUAACAAAGAUUUUUGCUCUUCUAUUGUUUUUCUUGAAUUUGUUUGAUUGUCUUUGAAUGUUCUUGUCCCUCAUACUGCACUUACUUUACAGCAUGGUUGUACUUUCAUCUUUGCACAAUUGACUUACACAGUGCUUUUAUGCGAAAGACUAUACAAGAGUUCUUAUCUUCUUUUGAAAUUUCCUUUCACGGGCACUCUACAAAUAAAAUAUUUAUGAGUUAUUAUUCUCAUAGUGUCUUCAAUCAUGGUACCCGAACUACAAUUGUUGACAAUUUUAUUUUAUUUCUAGAGUUAUCUUUAAGUAAAUUUCAAUGGAAGAUAGGGACUCCUAAGUCUUUAUGCAAAAAUAGUUUCUGUUAAUUGUACAAACCGUGUAUGUACAACUCGACUAUAGAGUGAGAUGCAACUGGGCAAGAAUCUUCAAAGCCAACUAGGCUCAUCCAAGCUAAACACUGAAGCAACCAAAAUCUUUUUUAUUCUUUCGUUUGUGAAAUGUCAACUUCAAGGGUUAAGUUCAUGCCUGAGGAUCAGAAUUCUAUCUAGCAUGUUGUGCGAAACAAGGUUAUAAUAUCAACUUCAUCAGAUUAGUGUAUGCUUCAAUAGCUUCCUCAAAUUUGAGCUUUGACCAACUAUCAAUUAUUGUUGAAAAAGCAGUGAAUUUUGUAACUUUAUGCCUUCUGCUCAUUUCUUCUUUUGUAUUGCCUUCGUUUUAGCCAUUACUACUUGUUAAUAGUAUUUACCCAUGUUAUUCUUUCAAUGGUUUUGACACCAAACAAAUUCAUACAAUGAAUGAACCUGAUAGUUAUGUACCCUUUGAAUUUAUGAAUCAUCUACAAUAGUAACACAAUAUACUAUUGUUAUUUAAUAUAGUUAAACCAGAUUUUUACCUAUCA